AAGCUUUCCACUAUGUUUUAUUCUAGGAGUUUAAUAGUUUUUGUUCUUACAUGUAGGUCUUUAAUCAAUUUUGAGUUAAUUUUUGUGUGUGAAGGGAAGGG